rnacentral:rRNA from 1 species
CAGUAGCCGCGGUAACACGGAGGGAGCUAGCGUUGUUCGGAAUUACUGGGCGUAAAGCGCGCGUAGGCGGUUACUCAAGUCAGAGGUGAAAGCCCGGGGCUCAACCCCGGAACUGCCUUUGAAACUAGGUGACUAGAAUCUUGGAGAGGUCAGUGGAAUUCCGAGUGUAGAGGUGAAAUUCGUAGAUAUUCGGGAGAACACCAGUGGCGAAGGCGACUGACUGGACAAGUAUUGACGCUGAGGUGCGAAAGCGUGGGGAGCAAACAGGAUUAGAUACCCGGGUAGUCCCUGUCUCUUAUAC